UUUCGUUCUCAGUUUUUGUUGUUGAACUGAGACUAUCUAUCAGACUAGCUAGCGCAAAUGGAAGCAAUAAGGGUUUAAUGGAAUUCCGAAGCUGAUGGUUUGAUAAACAGUUAUUGAUUCGAUCAUCAUCGAGGUAAACAUGAGCAUAGCCAUACAUCCAAUGGCAUCAGAAUUUCAUUGGAGUUCUACGACUGUUGGUUUGAUAUAAAUCUUCCUUUUUUUCUGGGCUAUCUUUUAACUCAGGUAAUAAUAUGAUCAUUCUUUAUAUGAUUAUGGCAAAUCAUCUUAUCCAUUGUUGUUUACGGGCUGACGCUAGUCUUUGAGGGGAGCCUCAAUUUGGGUGAUCGGGAGAUCUCACACCGAUUCUUUGAAGGAGCUUAUCUUGAUUAGCUAAGUUGUAGUUGUACAUUCUUGUGUUCAUCAUUGUGAUUCGGUAUAUAACUUCUUUUGAGAUCAAUGAAGAAUCAGACAUUCAUUUCAUGUGAUGUCCCCUAGACGUAGGAGUUGAAUUCUCCGAACUGGAUUAUCAAACUCUGUGUUCAUUGUUGUCU